ensembl:lncRNA
CGGGGAGGAUGACGACCAGGGAAAUACACCAGAGCGCUCUCUGACAGGGCAUCUGAGGUCGGAGGCUGCGGGCUCUACCCCGGGGCCGAUCCAGUUCAGGGAGGUCAGAAAGGCAGCUCGGAACGCGCCCAACCGGGACUGGAAACGUGUGAAACUCUCGGUUCAGCCCGAUUCCGCCUCGUCCAGGCAGCUUGUCUUGGGGGCACCCUAACCUCUCCGAACCUCAGUUUCCCCAUCUUGGGGUCACUGAAGCCGGAAGUUGUAGAAGCACCUAGGAAGCUACGGGGUCCUGCAUCCGGACCAGUUUCCGGCUUUGCGCUCCCCGCUGCCAAGUCGUUUGAAGGCUGCACAAACAUUCUUCCUCUCUCGCGUCCCCGGGAAUCAGGGUCUACACCCGCGAGGGCAGGCGGAGGCGGUUACCCCGAGAGUUCCGCUUCAGCAGACGCCUUCCGAUUGAUGGUUGGAAUUCCCCAGCAAGAAUACUGGGGUGGAUUGCCGUUUCUUUCUCCAGGGGAUCUUCUCAACUCAGGGAUUGAACCUGCAUCUCCUGUAUGACAGAAUUCGGCCAGUUCGCCACUUGAGACCUGCCCGUUUCUGGAUUUUAAUGGCCUUUUUUCCCAGGCAGAGGUGAAAGAAACCCGGGAAGCCUCCUGGAAAUCCCAUUGACUUGGCAGAAAGAAGAGCUGGACGAUGACUAGAAGGUUCCAGAAGACAUCAUGGGGAGACAUCUCAGGAAGGAAAAGUGAAUUAUCCACAGGAAUUCAGGGGCGGUGCUCCCCAUCGAAGGCUGGCAUCAGGAAAGACUCUGAGGUCAGAUCCAGACACGGGAUUGGAGGUGCUGAUAAACUCUGCUGCGGCACAGACUUUGGGGAGAAGGAAACCUAUAGUCCCGAUGAACGACUGCGUUGAUUUGGCGACCAGGUUCACUUGGCAUUUGCAGAGCGAGCUAUUUCAAGAAUGUGCAGAUUCAGUCCUGAAAAUGGCCUAGGAGAAGACUGGCUGGGCUUCAGAGGAGCAGAACAAAUGAGUUCCCCCUGCCCACCCCCCUGCUCCUUGCACCCCAUCCUGCGAUUUCCUUUGUCUCAAUCCAAAAUCCCCCUUUACAUGAUCCCGGAGGCUUCCUAAUAAAAUAGAACUGUAACUUUAUCUAAGACGAGUGCAGCACAUGUAGAAUGGAUAAGGUGUAAUUAAUAACAGAAAAUAAUGUUUCUCCCCUCCUGACCUCUCACCCCCAUAUAAGUGUC